UUUUUGCCGCAAUGUAGCAUUCGGCACCAAAAAAGGGCGAUGUAAAAUAAUUAUGGUUGCAAUCAAGUUACUACGAAAACCUAUUUGAUUAGCGGCCACACUUUACUCAAAUUGCAGCUAUAAAAUUAAGAACAAUUCGCCUGUAAUGAUUAUGGACUGGAUUUAUUUUGGGAGGGUGGAAUAAAAGUGGAUAUAGCAUAAAUUAUCCCCUAAUUAUACGCCAGUGUCGCCUCAAUUAUCCUCUUAUCAAAAAUGGUUGUCUAAAUGCAGCGUUUAGUUUCAAUUUUCUCCUUUACAAGAACUUGGUACCUUGCUAUUAUCGUCAGCUACGGUUGUUAUUUACUUUGUGGGAUUUAAAAGUGCACAACCCAGCCGGAUAAUCAUUUUACAGCAGCAGACCCAGAGAGGAGCACAGAGGCAGGGAUAUGAGCCUCCAAACACAUCCAACAUGGAUUUUUCUUUUUUGCUCUCUUAGAUUCAUUUAAAUUUUAUUUCAGAAAUCAGGUUGCGCGUUUUUGUCGCCAAGGAGGGCUGCAGCGCAAAAGCCACUGUGGCGCUUCUCAGACAGCCAGGCGUCGACGGCUCUCCAUCUCUCUGCCGCGUGAAGGGCGGGAAGCGCAGAUGCAUACUCCACACAGCUCCGCUGGUCUCCAUCUCUCCUCCAUCCCGUCCCCUUCUC